CACGAGGUGCUGCAGUGGCUGUCGUCAGCUCGUGUCGUGAGAUUGGUUAGGGUUAACGUCCCGUAACGAGCGCAACCUUGUCCUUAGUUACCAGCACGUUAUGGUGGGCACUCUAAGGAGACUGCCGGUGACAAACCGGAGGAAGGUGGGGAUGACGUCAAGUCAUCAUGGCCCUUACGGCCUGGGCUACACACGUGCUACAAUGGUCGGUACAAAGGGUUGCCAAGCCGCGAGGUGGAGCUAAUCCCAUAAAACCGAUCGUAGUCCGGAUCGCAGUCUGCAACUCGACUGCGUGAAGUCGGAAUCGCUAGUAAUCGUGAAUCAGAAUGUCACGGUGAAUACGUUCCCGGGCCUU
rnacentral:rRNA from 1 species